rnacentral:rRNA from 1 species
AGCGAACGCUGGCGGCAUGCCUAACACAUGCAAGUCGAACGAACUCUUCGGAGUUAGUGGCGCACGGGUGCGUAACGCGUGGGAAUCUGCCCUUGGGUACGGAAUAACUCAGAGAAAUUUGUGCUAAUACCGUAUAAUGUCUUCGGACCAAAGAUUUAUCGCCCAAGGAUGAGCCCGCGUAAGAUUAGCUAGUUGGUGAG